rnacentral:rRNA from 1 species
GAUGAACGCUAGCGGCAGGCUUAAUACAUGCAAGUCAAGGGGGUAGCAAUACAACCGGCGCACGGGUGAGUAACGCGUACACAACAUACCAUAUACUGGAGUAUAGGCUUUGGGAAACUGAAGGUAAUCCUCCAUAACAUUGCGAGAGGGCAUCUGAUUGCAAUUAAAGUUCCGGCGGUAUAUGAUUGGUGUGCGUUUGAUUAGCUAGUUGGUAGGGUAACGGCCUACCAAGGCGACGAUCAAUAGCUGGCGUGAGAGCGCGACCCAGCCACACUGGAACUGAGACACGGUCCAGACUCCUACGGGAGGCAGCAGUAGGGAAUAUUGGACAAUGGGCGAAAGCCUGAUCCAGCCAUGCCGCGUGAUAGAUGAAGGCCCUCUGGGUUGUAAAUAUCUUUUAAUCUGGGAAGAAACUCCUCUACNCUUAGAGGCCUGACGGUACCAGAGGA